CCCAGGGCAUGGCUUCUCCAGUUAUCCUGCUUGGAUGGAGAUGGAAUAGGCCAUGCAGGAUGGGGUCUGUGCUGUGCUCCUGCAGAUCAAUGCAAGCAUUUUCUUAUUCUAAGAGGAAAAAGCAGAUUUCCUUUGAAUAAGGGAGCUCUUGGCCCCAUCAUCCAUCCAACCCAUGGGAAGAGGCUUACGAAGCAGAGCUUACCUUGCCUUUCCAGCGCUCGAUUUUGAGCAGGUGGUGCCCAGAUCAGAGGCUGCCUCAAAACAUUUAGAGGAAAUCAAGUUACCAGCUGUGAUUAAUAGCUGGUAAAUAUCUGAUAAUAGCAGACACAUUUCUAAUGCAUUUAGAAGGACCAUGGCUCUAGCCUAGAGCAGAGAGGGGCUGAGUGCUCCCAAGCCACACAGCCCUGCAGCAGCACUUUUAGCUCAAUGCAUUGAUUGGCUUUUUUUGGACCACACAGCUGCUAAAUCCACAGGGAAAACAACUGGGGCAGUUUUUAAAUGCUGGAGAUCAUUCUUUUCCUGGGAGAGAAUUGCUGUUUUGCAGGUAAUAGGAGCCAAUUCUCUCUUGAUUUUUUAAUGACACAAAUAGCUGACCCCUUCCCUUCCCUAUCCUCCUCCACGGACCCUGGGAGAUGAUGUUUCAUUUGGAAUGGUGAUAUCUGUGUUCUGAGAGAAGUGACUGCAUCUCUGAGCUUGGCCCACAGAAGGAAAGGAGACACUGCCAGAUGCUGCCAGCUGUGCACCCCACAGGAGAAACACAUUUCACUGAGCCUGCUGAAAAACCAAGGCACCUGCAGCACCUGUGAAGAGCUUUAUCUCCUCAUGUAUUGUGCAUUCAUGAAGCAAGGGUGUUUCCUAAAAACUCUGGGAAGACAUACAAGUGCUUAAACGCCUGUGACAGGCUCUGGAGGAACCUCUUUAGAGAUACAUGAUGUGGGACGAGGGCAGGCUCUGAGUGAAAGCACCUGUCAAAUCCCAGCUGCCAAAGCCCAAGUUGCUCUAUGCUGGCAGCAGCGUCUCCACCAGCAUUGCUCAGCCCACACCAUGAGGGCAGAACUCCAGGGGAAAAAAAAUUAUUAGCUGUGGAUCCAGGCAGCUGCAGCCCUAAGAGCAGGGAAUGAGAACAUUUGUGGGGUCAAUCAAGAGAUUUUAGCAGACAUGGGAAGUCAGAGCCUAGCAGAACAGAGACUUUGGUGAGGUAGAACUCCAAGGGAAAAAACAAUUAUCUAUGGAUCCAGGCAGCUGCAGCCUGAAAAGCAGGGAACGAGAACAUUCAGGGGGUCUAGCAGAGUUUUUAGCAGUGACAUGGGAAGCCAGAGCCUAGCAAUGCAGUGGUCUUGGUGAGGACAGGCUCAGCCAAUGGUGGAUGUACUGCAACCUCAAGCUGGGCUCCUUAUGAACCUUUCCUAGGGAGCAGCUUGUCAUGGCCCCAGGAGCACUCUGCAGCCUGGCUCCUCACACACGU